GAUAGUGUAUCCUAGUGGUUUGAGCGUUAGGCUUCAACUCUGGAGAUCUGGGUUCGAAUCCCCAUUCA